GCCCCCGUUGUCUAAUGGUCAUGACGUCAGACUUCUACGCAUCCCGUAAAGGGCGUAGAGAAAAUCAUCUGGAGGUUGCGGGUUCGAGUCCCGCCGGGGGUU
rfam:Schizophyllum commune H4-8 unplaced genomic scaffold SCHCOscaffold_1, whole genome shotgun sequence.